rnacentral:rRNA from 1 species
GUGUCAGCCGCCGCGGUAAUACGUAGGGGGCAAGCGUUGUCCGGAUUUAUUGGGCGUAAAGAGCGUGUAGGCGGCCAAGCAGGUCCGCUGUGAAAACUCGAGGCUCAACCUCGAGAGGUCGGUGGAAACCGUUUGGCUAGAGUCCGGAAGAGGAGAGUGGAAUUCCCGGUGUAGCGGUGAAAUGCGCAGAUAUCGGGAAGAACACCCGUGGCGAAGGCGGCUCUCUGGGACGGUACUGACGCUGAGACGCGAAAGCGUGGGGAGCGAACAGGAUUAGAUACCCUUGUAGUCC